rnacentral:rRNA from 1 species
GACGAACGCUGGCGGCGUGCUUAACACAUGCAAGUCGAACGGGGCCCAGUCAGUAGCAAUACUGAUGAAGGCCCAGUGGCGAACGGGUGAGUAACACGUGAGAAACCUAUCCUGGUCUCUGGGAUAACAGUCGGAAACGACUGCUAAUACCGGAUGCCGUCGGAGCGCUGCAUGGCGCACUGACGAAAGGGUUACUGGAUCAGGAGGGUCUCGCGGCCUAUCAGCUUGUUGGUGGGGUAAUGGCCUAUCAAGGCAUCGACGGGUAGCUGGUCUGAGAGGAUGAUCAGCCACACUGGGACUGAGACACGGCCCAGACUCCUACGGGAGGCAGCAGUGGGGAAUCUUGCGCAAUGGGCGAAAGCCUGACGCAGCAACGCCGCGUGCGGGAAGAAGGCCUUCGGGUUGUAAACCGCUUUCAGAAGGAACGAAACUGACGGUACUUUCAGAAGAAGGUGCGGCCAACUACGUGCCAGCAGCCGCGGUGACACGUAGGCACCAAGCGUUGUCCGGAUUUAUUGGGCGUAAAGAGCUCGUAGGCGGUUCGAUAAGUCGGAUGUGAAAACUUUGGGCUCAACCCAAAGCGUGCAUUCGAUACUGUUGUGACUAGAGUUCGGUAGGGGAGUGGGGAAUUCCUAGUGUAGCGGUGAAAUGCGCAGAUAUUAGGAGGAACACCGGUGGCGAAGGCGCCACUCUGGGCCGAAACUGACGCUGAGGAGCGAAAGC